rnacentral:rRNA from 2 species
GGGUUGUGAGGUUAAGCGACUAAGCGUACACGGUGGAUGCCCUGGCAGUCAGAGGCGAUGAAGGACGUGCUAAUCUGCGAAAAGCGUCGGUAAGGUGAUAUGAACCGUUAUAACCGGCGAUGUCCGAAUGGGGAAACCCAGUGCAAUUCGUUGCACUAUCGUUAACUGAAUACAUAGGUUAACGAGGCGAACCGGGGGAACUGAAACAUCUAAGUACCCCGAGGAAAAGAAAUCAACCGAGAUUCCCCCAGUAGCGGCGAGCGAACGGGGAGCAGCCCAGAGUCUGAAUCAGCUUGUGUGUUAGUGGAACGGUCUGGAAAGUCCGACGGUACAGGGUGAUAGUCCCGUACACCAAAAUGCACAGGUUGUGAACUCGAAGAGUAGGGCGGGACACGUGGUAUCCUGUCUGAAUAUGGGGGGACCAUCCUCCAAGGCUAAAUACUCCUGACUGACCGAUAGUGAACCAGUACCGUGAGGGAAAGGCGAAAAGAACCCCGGCGAGGGGAGUGAAAAAGAACCUGAAACCGUGUACGUACAAGCAGUGGGAGCACCUUCGGGUGUGACUGCGUACCUUUUGUAUAAUGGGUCAGCGACUUAUAUUCUGUAGCAAGGUUAACCGUAUAGGGGAGCCGCAGGGAAACCGAGUCUUAACUGGGCGUUAAGUUGCAGGGUAUAGACCCGAAACCCGGUGAUCUAGCCAUGGGCAGGUUGAAGGUUGGGUAACACUAACUGGAGGACCGAACCGACUAAUGUUGAAAAAUUAGCGGAUGACUUGUGGCUGGGGGUGAAAGGCCAAUCAAACCGGGAGAUAGCUGGUUCUCCCCGAAAGCUAUUUAGGUAGCGCCUCGUGAAUUCAUCUUCGGGGGUAGAGCACUGUUUCGGCUAGGGGGUCAUCCCGACUUACCAACCCGAUGCAAACUACGAAUACCGAAGAAUGUUAUCACGGGAGACACACGGCGGGUGCUAACGUCCGUCGUGAAGAGGGAAACAACCCAGACCGCCAGCUAAGGUCCCAAAGUCAUGGUUAAGUGGGAAACGAUGUGGGAAGGCACAGACAGCCAGGAUGUUGGCUUAGAAGCAGCCAUCAUUUAAAGAAAGCGUAAUAGCUCACUGGUCGAGUCGGCCUGCGCGGAAGAUGUAACGGGGCUAAACCAUGCACCGAAGCUGCGGCAGCGACACUAUGUGUUGUUGGGUAGGGGAGCGUUCUGUAAGCCUGCGAAGGUGACCUGUGAGGGUUGCUGGAGGUAUCAGAAGUGCGAAUGCUGACAUAAGUAACGAUAAAGCGGGUGAAAAGCCCGCUCGCCGGAAGACCAAGGGUUCCUGUCCAACGUUAAUCGGGGCAGGGUGAGUCGACCCCUAAGGCGAGGCCGAAAGGCGUAGUCGAUGGGAAACAGGUUAAUAUUCCUGUACUUGGUGUUACUGCGAAGGGGGGACGGAGAAGGCUAUGUUAGCCGGGCGACGGUUGUCCCGGUUUAAGCAUGUAGGCUGGUUAUCCAGGCAAAUCCGGAUAAUCAAGGCUGAGGUGUGAUGACGAGGCACUACGGUGCUGAAGUAACAAAUGCCCUGCUUCCAGGAAAAGCCUCUAAGCAUCAGGUAACAUCAAAUCGUACCCCAAACCGACACAGGUGGUCAGGUAGAGAAUACCAAGGCGCUUGAGAGAACUCGGGUGAAGGAACUAGGCAAAAUGGUGCCGUAACUUCGGGAGAAGGCACGCUGGUGUGUAGGUGAAGCCCCUGCGGGUGGAGCUGAGACCAGUCGAAGAUACCAGCUGGCUGCAACUGUUUAUUAAAAACACAGCACUGUGCAAACACGAAAGUGGACGUAUACGGUGUGACGCCUGCCCGGUGCCGGAAGGUUAAUUGAUGGGGUUAUCCGUAAGGAGAAGCUCUUGAUCGAAGCCCCGGUAAACGGCGGCCGUAACUAUAACGGUCCUAAGGUAGCGAAAUUCCUUGUCGGGUAAGUUCCGACCUGCACGAAUGGCGUAAUGAUGGCCAGGCUGUCUCCACCCGAGACUCAGUGAAAUUGAACUCGCUGUGAAGAUGCAGUGUACCCGCGGCAAGACGGAAAGACCCCGUGAACCUUUACUAUAGCUUGACACUGAACAUUGAGCCUUGAUGUGUAGGAUAGGUGGGAGGCUUUGAAGCGUGGACGCCAGUCUGCGUGGAGCCAACCUUGAAAUACCACCCUUUAAUGUUUGAUGUUCUAACGUUGGCCCCUGACCGGGGUUGCGGACAGUGUCUGGUGGGUAGUUUGACUGGGGCGGUCUCCUCCCAAAGCGUAACGGAGGAGCACGAAGGUUAGCUAAUCCUGGUCGGACAUCAGGAGGUUAGUGCAAUGGCAUAAGCUAGCUUGACUGCGAGCGUGACGGCGCGAGCAGGUGCGAAAGCAGGUCAUAGUGAUCCGGUGGUUCUGAAUGGAAGGGCCAUCGCUCAACGGAUAAAAGGUACUCCGGGGAUAACAGGCUGAUACCGCCCAAGAGUUCAUAUCGACGGCGGUGUUUGGCACCUCGAUGUCGGCUCAUCACAUCCUGGGGCUGAAGUAGGUCCCAAGGGUAUGGCUGUUCGCCAUUUAAAGUGGUACGCGAGCUGGGUUUAGAACGUCGUGAGACAGUUCGGUCCCUAUCUGCCGUGGGCGCUGGAGAAUUGAGGGGGGCUGCUCCUAGUACGAGAGGACCGGAGUGGACGCAUCACUGGUGUUCGGGUUGUCAUGCCAAUGGCACUGCCCGGUAGCUAAAUGCGGAAGAGAUAAGUGCUGAAAGCAUCUAAGCACGAAACUUGCCCCGAGAUGAGUUCUCCCUGAGACUUUAAGUCUCCUGAAGGAACGUUGAAGACGACGACGUUGAUAGGCCGGGUGUGUAAGCGCAGCGAUGCGUUGAGCUAACCGGUACUAAUGAACCGUGAGGCUUAACCUUACAACGCCGAAG